CCUACGGGCGGCAGCAGUGGGGAAUAUUGGACAAUGGGGGGAACCCUGAUCCAGCCAUGCCGCGUGUGUGAAGAAGGCCCUCGGGUUGUAAAGCACUUUCAGUGAGGAAGAACGCCUGGUGGUUAAUACCCAUCAGGAAAGACAUCACUCACAGAAGAAGCACCGGCUAACUCCGUGCCAGCAGCCGCGGUAAUACGGAGGGUGCGAGCGUUAAUCGGAAUUACUGGGCGUAAAGCGCGCGUAGGUGGCUUGAUAAGCCGGUUGUGAAAGCCCCGGGCUCAACCUGGGAACGGCAUCCGGAACUGUCAAGCUAGAGUGCAGGAGAGGAAGGUAGAAUUCCCUGUGUAGCGGUGAAAUGCGUAGAGAUCGGGAGGAAUACCAGUGGCGAAGGCGGCCUUCUGGAAUGACACUGCCACUGAGGUGCGAAAGCGUGGGUAGCGAACAGGAUUAGAUACCCUAGUAGUC
rnacentral:rRNA from 1 species